GCAGCGUGGAUAGCUCAGUUGGUUAGAGCGUGGUGCUGAUAACGCCAAGGCUGCAGGUUCAAUCCCUGUAUGGGACAGCUGCA